rnacentral:rRNA from 1 species
AGUGAACGCUGGCGGUAGGCCUAACACAUGCAAGUCGAACGGCAGCACAGUAAGAGCUUGCUCUUACGGGUGGCGAGUGGCGGACGGGUGAGGAAUACAUCGGAAUCUACUUUUUCGUGGGGGAUAACGUAGGGAAACUUACGCUAAUACCGCAUACGACCUACGGGUGAAAGCAGGGGAUCUUCGGACCUUGCGCGAUUGAAUGAGCCGAUGUCGGAUUAGCUAGUUGGCGGGGUAAAGGCCCACCAAGGCGACGAUCCGUAGCUGGUCUGAGAGGAUGAUCAGCCACACUGGAAGUGAGACACGGUCCAGACUCCUACGGGAGGCAGCAGUGGGGAAUAUCGGGCAAUGGGCGCAAGCCUGAUCCAGCCAUACCGCGUGGGUGAAGAAGGCCUUCGGGUUGUAAAGCCCUUUUGUUGGGAAAGAAAAGCAGCAGGUUAAUACCCCGCUGUUCUGACGGUACCCAAAGAAUAAGCACCGGCUAACUUCGUG